rnacentral:rRNA from 1 species
GACGAACGCUGGCGGCGUGCUUAACACAUGCAAGUCGAACGGAAAGGCCCUGCUCUUGCGGGGUGCUCGUGUGGCGAACGGGUGAGUAACACGUGAGUAACCUGCCCUUGUCUUUGGGAUAACUUCAGGAAACUGGGGCUAAUACCGGAUAGGAUCUCCUGCUGCACGGUGGUGGAUGGAGAGUUUCGGCGGUUGGGGAUGGACUCGCGGCUUAUCAGCUUGAUGGUGGGGUAGUGGCUUACCAAGCGUUUGACGGGUAGGCGGCCUGGGAGGGUGACCGGGCACAUGGGGACUGAGAGACGGCGCAGACGGCAACGGGAGGCAGCAGUGGAGAGUAUGGCACAGUGGGCGGAAGCCUGAGACAGCAACGCCGGGUGCGGGAUGACGGCCUUCGGGUGGUGAACCGCUUUCGCCGGAGACGAAGCGUGAGUGACGGUAACUAGUAAAGAAGCACCGGCUAACUACGUG